rnacentral:tRNA from 1 species
GACGUGGUGGCUGAGCGGUAAGGCACUUGGCUUCCGAACAAGGGGUUCUGGGUUUGAAUCCUGGUAAUUUUA